CCAGCUGUUCUGCCAAGAGCAUCGCUGGGUAGCCAUAUCCGGACGGGAUAAACGCUGAAAGCAUCUAAGCGUGAAGCCCCCCUCAAGAUGAGGUUUCCCAUUCCAUAAGGAAGUAAGACCCCUGGUAGAUUACCAGGUGGAUAGGCCGGGAGUGUAAGUCCUGUAAGGGAUUGAGCUGACCGGUACUAAUAGGUCGAGGGCUUGACCUU
rnacentral:rRNA from 1 species